rnacentral:rRNA from 1 species
GACUUGUCGUCGAUAUAUUCUGCACCCACACUCUCGUAUGAACGACGUACAGUCCGUUCCUCCGUUCUCUCGGUCGUUUCACGUGUCGUUCCCAAUACACUAUCUCGACGUAAACGUGGACGUGGAUCUCUCCUUCUUCUUUCCAGCUUCCGAACCUUGAACCGGUACGUACGCUAACGCUACGUACGUUGCAAGAGGAACUGGGGAGCGAGAAGGACAUCCACGUCACCGUAUACGUUGAGAUAGUGUCCGUAGGAUCCAUGUGUAGCGAGCAGUGUGUAAGAGGGGGAGAAGAACGAAAACCGAUGUGGUCUUUGAGUUUCACAGAAACACGUUCAUCGAGCCGGUCGAAGUCGAACCUAGCUAUUAUCCACUUCUUCUUAAACCGCAGUAUACCGACGUAAACGUGGACGUGGAUGCUGCUUCUUGUUUCCUUUGCGGAAAACAGUAGGAGUUCAACGAUCCACGUCACCGUGUACGUCGGCAUAGUGUACUUAAGAGACUUGCGUUCAAGUUCAAUGGAGUCACCAAAACGGAAGAAACAAUGGGCAGGACGACCUGAGCAUUGACACAUUUACUACAUAAGAACCGUUGACGGCUAAAAGAACUUAUAGUCUCGGAGUAUCCGUUGAUCCCUACGAUCGUACUUGUGUACUUAAAAGGGUUCUGUUCAAUUCCUAGAUAAACUAAAUUCAAAAAGAUUUCCUUUAAAACGUCCUAAUAAGAUUGAAAAUCCUUAAAAAAGGGAUAUACACCCAACGAACUAAACAUGGAUCCUGAUCAUAACUUUAAGUAUUCUACAAACGGUAUGCUGAGUAAACGCGAUCUCCGGGGAACCUAAGGUUUAUAAUAUCCUAAAACCAUCUUAAUGUUAGGGAUCCUAAAAAAAGGGAUACCUGACAGAAACAUAAUUUCCCCCUAACACGAUGAGGGAGGCUAGGUAUAAUAAACAGCGAAUUUGCCUACAUAGAUCGUGAUUUUACACAAAUCCAUAUAUAUAUAAACUCGCUCUUCAUUAUAUAUAGACCUAGCCUCCCUCAUGGAUUUUAAGAUCCUAACUUAAACGGACAGAGUCAGGGUACCUUUAGACUUAGUAUGUGAUGUUGGAGAAAAGUUCUGAAUUAGCGCAUCCUAGCUCCAUAUAAAUACAGAAGGUAGGUUUACUGACAAGGAUAAAACGUAGACAACCAAAACGUGAUCAUUUAAACAAUGUAACAACACAAAUAAGAUAAACACACAAAGAUUAGGUUAGGUUU